CCUACGGGUGGCAGCAGUGGGGAAUAUUGCACAAUGGGGGAAACCCUGAUGCAGCGACGCCGCGUGAGUGAAGAAGUUCUUCGGUAUGUAAAGCUCUAUCAGCAGGGAAGAAAAUGACGGUACCUGAUUAAGAAGCCCCGGCUAACUACGUGCCAGCAGCCGCGGUAAUACGUAGGGGGCAAGCGUUAUCCGGAUUUACUGGGUGUAAAGGGAGCGUAGGCGGCAGCACAAGUCUGGAGUGAAAUGCCAGGGCUUAACCCCGGGAGUGCAUUGGAAACUGUGCAGCUGGAGUGCAGGAGAGGUAAGUGGAAUUCCAUGUGUAGCGGUGAAAUGCGUAGAUAUUAGGAGGAACACCAGUGGCGAAGGCGGCUUUCUGGACUGUAACUGACGUUGAGGCUCGAAAGCGUGGGGAGCAAACAGGAUUAGAUACCCGGGUAGUC
rnacentral:rRNA from 1 species